ACAAAUAGCCAUCCACUCACUAUUAUAUGUUAAACUUCAAUUUUACACACAUUGAUAGCUGUGUUGUAGUUCUCAUUGAACAUUAGGCUCUAAAUCAC